UUUGAUGCAAUAAAAAUACAACAUUAAUUUGAUGCAAUAAAAAUUAAAUAAUUGAAUGAAAAGAAAAUAGAUUCCACUCUAUUUUAUUCUAUUCUAUCUAUUAAUUACAAAUCCAAACAAGAAAAUCUGAUUAUUUACUGUUCUAUUUCAUUCCAUUUCAUCAGAAAUCUUUAUAUUUUAUAUAUGUAACCUCCGCUAUACCCCUUGUACUAACCUCCAAUGAUACAGUAAAAUAAAAAACAGACGCCAAGGGACAUCACUGAUUCUCCAAAACUUAAAAGAAAACAAUUUGGUUUUGACAAAAGUAAGUUACAAGAAAGUAAAAUCUAUAUGAGCUUCUUCUUCUGAAAGUAGCGUCUCAGAUACCACAGUUGCAACACCGAAACCGAAACACAGACGCCAAGAGACAUUAUACUCAACCAAGCAACUCUCCCAUUAGUUGCUUCACUAACUUCCCUCAUUUCCGAUUCCCUAUACCAACGCGAUUGCAAGUGUUUAAGGGUUAGGGUUUAGGGUAAAACCGAAAUCAAACAUCAUAAUGAACAUAAAUUUUUUUACCUAUUCUUUAAAUAUAUCAGAUUUUGAUGAAUGGCUUCCACUGCUCCAUCAAGUUUCCUUAGCUCAAGUUCAACUCCCUUAAGCCAUUGUCCAAAACAAAUCUCAUUAAACACUUCAAUAGAGAGAGAGAAUGAGUGAAAUUUAUUUAUUUAUUACCUCAAUUUUAUCUUUUUUUGCAACGGCGUCCCAAUCUUUGGCAGAGAUUCCAGUUUUCCAAUCAAGGCUGAUUGAGGUACCAUCUACAUUUUUACUAUCCAUCCAAAAGCAUGCUACGUAGCUCCCACUCUCAGUAGUUGUAAAUGCAAAUUGGCCUUGAGUGACAUUUUCAUUGUUGUGAAGAUUAUUUCCAUAUGGAGAUGUUACCUGGGAUAAAAGGUCAGACAUGUAUUAGAACAACAUUGUUAAAUCGAACAAUUCAUUACCUCGGAUGAAAUUGUAUUGAAAGAAUUUUAGAUUUUAAGCCGGUCUAACUCAAUAUACAAAACCGACUUCUAAAUAAGGAUUGUUUUCCACUUACAAACAUAUUUUUAGAUCAUAUCUCAAAUAUUUUUAAACCAUAUUUCAGUCCAUGUAAAGUUUUUUAAGAUUAAAAUCUGGACUGAGUAUUAGAAGAUGAUGAUUGUUAAAACUCUUUAAUAAUGCUCCAAGAAGAAGACAAAAUGGUUAAUGGCAAUAAUGAUGUAACUCUCAUAACUCCCAAAACCAUGAAAGUAGGAGGAAAGAGAUAGGGCUAUAAAUACACUAGAAGAUGACCAAAAAAACAUCCCUUAUAUUGAGACUUUAUUUGUACAUGGUCGACAAGGUCACAAAUUUCUUCAGAAUACCCGGUAUCCAUUACACCGGUACUAUCCGAGAUUAACAACUUACAAAUGUAUUUAUCGAAUCUUAUUUAAGUCUAUAUGAAUUUUAGUUGUUUUAUUGGAACACCCAAACAUUUGCAUGUGAGAAAUCCAUAAACCACCAACGAACUUUCAUUUAUCACAAAUUUAAAUGUGAUUAACCACAAUUAUUAAAUGCUGAAAUUCAUAUAGUUGAGCCCCAGUGGCUAACCAUUAAGCAUAUAUCCUAAUUUAACACCAUAAAAUUUCUAGAGCAACUAAGAAAUUUGGUCCUAAAUUUGCUAAAAACAAAAUUAAGAGCAUACUUUGACAAAAUUAAGCAUUAAGUUCAAACAAAAAAAGAAAAGGAUUUACAUAAGCUAAAACACACCUUGGCAGAAAUAGUAGGAAGUGGAUGACCCUUGAUAUUAUCAGCAACAACAUAGUAAUCGGCUAAAACGACAACAUGUGUUUGGAUUUCCUGGGACACGCACUUAGUUCCUGAACUGGGGAGAGUUAACCAAAGGGCCUUAGUUUGAGGGAGGUUAAAAAGAGAGAUGAAGCAUAACAACGAAACCAGAGCGAUUUGGGUUACAGAACAUGGGUUGAAGCUUUUUGCCAUUUCCGGAAGACACGUUGACCGUGGAAUAAAACAGGAUACUCAAAACCAAAUGGUUCAGAUCUAACCGAGAGAAGGAAAUAAAGUUGGCGUGUGUAAGAAAAAUAGAUUUUAUCAUCAAGAUUCUUUAAUGUUUUAGUUUAAGUUAAAUUUAAAACCAAAAUAAUUAUUAAAAAAAUCAUUGUUAAUUAGCUUUUUAUUUAAUUUUAAAAUAACUUUACUUUCAAUCACAAAAUCAUAACAAUAAAUUAUAUAACUUAUAUUUUUUUUAAAUGUUAUUAUGUCAUCACCAAAGAUCAUAUUGUCUAUCACUAUUUCAACAACAUAAACAUAUCGGGGGAGAAUAUGUUCUAAGUAUUUGUUCCGUAUGAAUUUUUUUUUAUCCUAUUGAUCCCUUGGCUGAAUUCUUAGUUAAAUCUAAUGGGACAUAAACUUUUAGCUCGGUUCUGUUGAGUGUGAAUAUGAAAGUAGAAAAAUGAUCCAGAAGGUGGUGAAUAGACCCAAUUUAAAAUUCAAUUGUCAUUUUUGAAAUCAAGGUGUUUUUCAAAAAUAAUUGUGAGCGGAAGGUUUGAUGCGAAAAUGUGAAAAUUAUACUGCUUGAAUUUUGAUCAAGUUAAUACAGAUCGUUUCACAAAUAGCAAAGAUGAAUAUGAGAAUAUAUUCAAUUGUGUAAUUCACAAGAAGUGUUUACACAAUGAUUCAUUGAAUGAGAUUCUAAUGUCAAUUUGUUUCUCAGAAAAUUAAUCACCAAUCUAGCUUAAAAAGUUAUUCAAUUCCAAUAAAACCUAAUGUUUAUGUAAUAAAUCGCUAUCAAUGUGUAAACGAUAUACUACGAUGGAAUUGAAAUACCUAAGCAUACAAAUACUAUAAAAUUAAAUGCAAGAGUAAGAGAGAGAGAGAGAGAGAGAGAGAGAGAGAGUCUCUCUCUCUCUCUCUUUACUGCAGCUCUAAAUAUCACGAAGCCGGUUCGUCCUCGGCUUUCCUAUGUGCACUCUUCAAUGGUUUCUCAUUAGAACCUGCAUAAUUCCUUGUUAUUUGACAAACACUUGCAAGAGUUCAUACAAUCACCAAUCCACAAUACAACUGAAAAAAUACAAUCUCCUAUUUAGAUCUUGACUUGUAUACAGCACACUCCCAAACUCUUCUACGUAAUCUUUACUCAAAUUACGUUUCUUGAAUCUUCCAAUAUCAUCAAUCUGCUACAAGCCUUCGUCUGUAGCUAUCAACCCCUUGAUACUACCGAUUUAUUGAGCGAUGAAUUAUCUGAAGAUAUGAGAAGAACUCUGCCUUAUCCGUAGCCUUCUACACAAUCACUACUAAGGCAAUUCUGGAGAGAAUAACCUACUUUUUUUCAAUGGAAUUUGUCACCACCAUUGACAAUCACCCCAAUCUUGCAAACAACCUGAAAAACUCCACCAUAUCUCCAAGAACGAUUAGCUUCAAGGACGCGUCUCCUCCAAUCAAUUACGAAUCUCUCGUUAUUAAGAUCUGAACCAAAUUGAAUUUGAAGAUGCAAGAAUCUCGUUGCAAGACUUUGAACACUCAAAGCAGAGGAAAUUGGUUUUUCACUAAAUCACACUGAAAAUUAUGAUCAUAAUGAUAUAUGUUUUAUGAGAAAUGAUGACAAAAAGGUUUUAUAUGUGCUUUUGAUUAAGCAUAAAAAAUGGUUAAGAAAGUCAAUUAGAUAUGAAUCAAGAACAAUCUAUGAUUUGAAUCAAAUGAGCAAGUGAAGUGGCAUAAAAAACUUAAUUUUGAACAUUUGAUAGUUGAUUCGAAUUACAAGGAAAAUGUGAUUCGAAUCACAAGGAAAGUGUGAUUCGAAUCAUGGACCUCUUGACUCAAAUCAUGUACAGGAAAUGAUUUGGAUCAAAUCAAACAACCCUAACUGAAAAAUGCUGAAAAGUGUGUGAUUCGAAUCAUGUUCAAAAUUUGAUUCGAAAAAAAAAUCAAGUAGAGGUGGACAUCAGGAAGUUUAGAAUCAUGUGUAAAAAAUGAUUUGAAUCAAAUUGUCUGAAAAUUCCAUAUUUGCCUCUAUCCAUUUUGAUUUGAAUCAUAAAAUGUGUUUGAUUUCCUUGAUUCAAAUCAAACACAUAAAAUCUCAAAUUUUCAAGGUUCUAAAAGCGCUUUGAGAUUUUACUUUGAAUCAAACUCAAAUAAAAAAUAUAAAAGGUUUUCAUUCCAGUUACUCAUGUAAUUGAUAAAAAACAUCAUGAUCAAGAUCAAAUCUAACAAAUGGUGUAUUCAUGCUAAAAUGAAUCUUUUUAAACUUGAUUCUGAGAAGUGCAAUCACGAAGAAAACUCAACAAAUCGAAAUUAAAUCAAAUAUAAAAGCGAUAAGACAAUCAACAAAAUAAUUGGAUAUAGUUGCUCCCCUGAUUAAAUUAGGGACAUGCAACUACAAUAUCCCGUUUUUUAUGCUUGGCAAGCUUUUAAUUUGAAUUGAGUUGAUCUUGAGUAUAACGCAUAAAAUGUUUAUGUCCCCCUUGAAUUCCAAGUAAACAACCAUAAAUAACUCAUGAAAAAGUAUACAAAUGCUCAAAUGCACAUAAUUUAGAACAAUCAUGAAUAAUUCAUGAACAAGUAUACAAAUGCUCAAAUGCACAUAAUUAGGAAAACAUUCAAAAGACUUAAAUACAAAUAAGAACAAAAGAACUAUCUUUAUAAUGGAUGUUCAAGGCAUAUAUCUAGAGAAAAAGAACUAUCUUGAAGAGUUAAAGCCCUACUUUAAUAGUUAUGUUACUUUUGGUGAUGCAGCUAGAGGAAGAAUGAAGGGCAUAUGCAAACUAGUUAGUCCAGGUUCCCCUUAUCUUGAUGAUGUGUUGUCGGUAAAAAGUCUAACUCUAAAUUUAUCAGCAUAAGUCAACUAUGUCAUCAAGGUAUGGAUGUGAACUUUAAUAAGUCUGGAUUUAUUUUCUCCAGCAAAUAUCAAGAGGUGUUAAUGAAGGAUUCAAGAUCCAAAGACAACUGUUAUAUAUGGAUCUCUCAUCUCUCUUCAAGUUUGAUAUCCAAGGUUGAUGAGACUAAGUUAUGAAACCAUAAAAUUAGUCAUAUCAACCUCAAUAGCAUGAACAAGAUCAUAUAUGAAGAAGCCAUUAGAGGUUCACCAAAGCUGAAAAUUGAAUAAGGCAAAAUAUGUGGAAAUUGCCAAAUAGGCAAGCAGACCAAGAUGUCCACAAGAAGCUCUAGCAUCUUUCCAACUCUAAUGUUUUUGAGUUACUUCAUAUGGACCUUAUGCAAACCAUACAUGUGAAAGGCCUGGGUGGAAUAAAUAACACCCUAUGUGCGAAGAAUGAUAAAGGAAAACUCUUGGAUGACUUUGUGUUUGGUGAAAUGUCAAACAAGAUGUUGGAACAUUAUAUCAAACUAAUGCAGUCUGAAGUUGAGAUAAGUCUAGGUGGAGAAUUCACCUACAUUCUUGGGUAUCACAUAAGACACCACUUUUAUUUCUCAAAGCAAGUAUGCAAAGAAAGUUCAGUUUGAAUGGAUAAGGGCACUUUUGGCAUUUUCAUGUAUGUGAAAUUAAAGCAAAGCAGGCAUGAAAAAGGAAAUUUUAUCUCUCUUGUUAUCAUUGUGAUCAUAGAUGAGAUUAAGGAAUGGGAUUGAGCUGAAAAUGUAAAGAAGGAUUCAGUGAGAAUCUUAUGUGAAGAACCAACAAGUGAAGUCGAAAGAUAAGUUCGACAAGAAGAAGUCAGAGGUUGAGCAAGCAUAAGAAGACUUCAAAGAAUAAGACACAUGCUUGCAAGGUUGCAGGAAUGUGUGAUUACAUUAGAUGAUAUGGUCAAUGAUGAAGGUGAGCUGGUACACUAUGCUUUUUAUACAGAUGUCGAAAUAGUCAAUGCAGCUGAGGCAUUGAAGGAUUCGACAUGGAUGAAAGUGAUGAAUAAGGAAAUGAAAUCCAUUGAAGUCAACAACACUUGGUCACUUGUCGAAUUGCCUCAAGGCAAGAAUAAAAUUGAUGUGAAAUGGGUAUACAAGGUGAAGUUAAAUCCCAAAGAAGAAGUAACUCGAAACAGGGUAAGGCUUAUGGCAAAAGGAUUUCUUCAGAAAGAAGGAAUCGACUUCGACGAAGUUUUCACACCUGUUGCUAGGAUCGAAACAAUCAGGUUAUUUGUUGGUCUAGCACACAUGAACAACUGGAAUAUGUGUCAAGUGGAUGUGAAAUGUGCAUUCCUGAACGGCCCCUUAGAAGAAUAAGUUUUUGUUGCAUAACCAGUUGGGUUUGUGAAACAAGGUCAAGAAAGAAAAGUAUACAGGCUGCAUAAAGUCCUAUAUGGACUCAAACAAGCUCCAAGAGCUUGAAAUGAGAAGAUAGAUAGUUUCCUAAGGGAGAAGGAAUUUGUGAAGUGCACAACUGAGCAAGAAGUAUAUGUAAUAAGAAGCAAUAAUGAGUUGCAUAUAAUGUGUCUCUAUGUCGAUCACUUGUUAAUAACAGGUAGCUGCAAGAAAGAGAUCGAAGACUUCAAAGGUGAUCUUAGAAAGGAGUUCGAAAUGUCUGAUAUGGAAAACAUUUCAUACUUCCUUGGUGUCUAAUUCUACAAGAGUAGUAGAGGAUUGAUGAUGCAUCAAAAAAAGAUAGGCAAAUGAAAUACUCAAAAUAUUUGAGAUGGAAGACUGCAAUGCAACUUCGACACCUGGUGAACCAAGACUGCAACAGUCGAAAAAGUCAGAUGAAGAUGUCGACCAAACACAGUACAAAAUACUUAUUGGGUCAUUAAGAUAAAUUUAUCACACAAGGCCUGAUCUAACAUACAAUAUAGGUAUGGUAAGUAGAUUCAUGUAGAAGCCAAAGGUAUCCCAUCUAGCAGCUACGAAGAAGAUACUAAGGUAUCUCAAAGAAACUCUCGACAAUGACAUUUUGUUUCCUACAUCUGAUGAAAGAAAAGAAUCCAAGCUAGUGGGUUACACCGACUCAAGUUGGUGUAAUGAUGUUGAGGAUAGAAAAUCCACAUUUCCUUAUGUGUUUAUUCUAUGAGGAUAAAAAAUUCGGUUGCUUGGAACUCAAGAAAAGAAUCAGUAGUAGCAAUGUCGUCGUGUGAAGCAAGGUACAUAGUUACUUCCCUUUGUGCAUGUCAAGCAACAUGGAUGGUGAAUUUGGUCGAAGAAAUUACAGGGAAGGAUCAUGGAGCAAUUACUAUGAAGAUUGACAUCAUGUUUGUUAUCAAUUUGGCAAAGAAUUCGGCAGCACAUGGAAGAAGCAAACACAUCAAAAUGAGAUUUCGUUAUCUUUGAGAGUAAGCAACAAAUGUGAAGCUGAACUUAGAAAACUGCAGAACUGAGAAUCAGAUUACAGACACCGUGACAAAAGGUGUGCAAGUCAAAGUGUUCAAAAUACUAAGAACAAUGAUGAAUGUAGAUACCUUAGACACAAUGAAUUAGGUGGUAUGUUGAGAAUAUAAUUCUUUGUGUCAAAGCAUCAUUUCGAUAGAGUUGGUUGUUGUCAAAAUGCUAUGCGCCGAAUUUUGUAUAGUUGUCGAAAUGUCGAAGAGUGUGUCUUCGACAUGAAUUGUAAGACUUAGCUUUAUUUUGUGUUUUAGCUGAGUUAGGUUAAUUAGAGAUUGUUUGGUGUGCAAGCAAUCUCAACUUAUAAAUAGGGAGGUACCAUAUCAUUGUAAUAAAGCAAUUGCAUAGAGAAAAUAUUGAAUAAAGUUUUGUUUGAAGGCAGAGAGAAACUCUGCAGAAAUAUUCUCUUUCUUUUCCCCUUUCUCUAAAAACAUAAUUUUAUAUUUUCUUCCCCAAUUCAUCUUUUACUUUCUUCUCAAACUUAUGUGCGUUGGAAUCAUCUUCCAACUAAGGUGUGGUUGAUUCACUCGAGUGAAAAGUGAAAAACAAGAGUAGUAGUCAAUCAGAAAGAUUGAUUCUUCUUCAUCAAGAUUGAUUCGGAAUUCUUCUUAAUUUGGUGAAAUUCCACAUCAGGAAUUUAUCGUAAUUCCAACAAGGGAGUGUGUCUGCAAAAUUAGCACUCCAAUGCUCAAGCCAACGAAGUCGGAUAGGUGAAACUUCUAAGAAUAUAAUGAUUCGUCUUUGGUAUGUCGUUGAGUGACACUUAUAUAGGAAUAACCGUUAGAAUCGUCUCUAAAGAGUGCGGCGUCUCGUGGGGAACCAUUGGAUGAAUCCAACGGUUGAGAUGGAGCGGUGUCUCACUCUAGUGUUGGGCUUCCUCGUAAAAAUGUGCAUGUAUGUCAACUUGAGGGGGCGUGGAAUUGAAUUGGACCUCCAACUUAAAUCGGAAAUUAUAAACUCUUUGGUGAGUCCCAACAAGUAACUACGUGCUAUUGUCGAAAACAAAAAACAAAUGCAACUACUUUUGCCUCCUUGAUAUCAAUUCUCAACUCUAAAAAAAGCCUCAAAUGCAUGCAUGCAAACAUGGCUCUUGGUGGCUCCUAGGGUGGUUGAGAUUAUAUUAUUUAUGGUAGUGUGUGCUAUUUUUGUGCUAUACAAUCUAAUUGUCCCUACAAUUUGCUCUGGCUGUAUUAACUAGUCGUCGUAAUUUUCAUAGGUGCUUUCCUCCUUGUAGAAGGGGUACGGAUGGUCCUACAGUUGGUACGGGCCAGUUAGGACAUAAGUACCAAAGUACAGCUAUGGUACAUUAUAAAAAAUGUUAUAGACAUACAUGCAUGCAUCUACAUUUAUGGUCAAGAUAGUUUGGGACCCCUUGAUAGAUACUAGAUAAGAUAUUCUACAAAACAUGUAAUAGAGAGAUGUAAAACCAACAUCCAGAAGGUUCAGGUAUUCUUUUCAAAGAAAGAAACAAUGAAAUCCAGCUAAUAUUUCCAUUUCAACAUUCAACAACCAGAGCGUUCCUAUCAUGAUCACUGAUUGAUCACAAAAUCACAGCUGCACCGUAUUGAGAAUGGAAAUCAUAAUAUGAUAUACUCUAAGUUUAAUUUUAAAUCGAUUAUUAUGAAGUUCAUUUCAUGCGUGGUUAAUUUAUUAAAAAAUAAUAAGAAGAAGAAACCAUGUGUUCCUAGUGAGAACUGUCUUUAAAUUUGACGCGUAAUACUCUGUGUUCUACAUUUAUUCCAGCAGCGGAAAGGAGCGUGAAAAAACUUUUGUACGGAUUGCGAAUUGCGAAUUCCGACCCGUUGUUUUAAGUAAAAUGUGUUUUACUCCUAGGCUUUAUUUGCUUUAAAUGAGAAUUUGGAGAAGAAGAAAACCAAAAUUUUAAAUAAAUAAAAAUAAAAAUAAAAUAAAUGUGAAUAAUUCGGUAUCUUUAAAUUUAAAUAGAUACUGAGAUCCUCAUCAAUCAAAAAGGAUCAUUCAAUGUCAUGUCAAUUUUUAAAUUAUUUUAUUUUUAAAUUUUAAAUUAAUUUUCACUAAAGAUACAAGUACUUAAUCAUAAUUUAUGGGUACCAUAAAAUUUAUUUAAAAUAAAAUAGAAAGAACAAGUACAUAAUCAUAAUUUAUGGGUAUCAUAAAAUUUAUUUAAAAUAAAAUAGAAAGAACCGAAAGAUUUUGACAAAACUAUGACUUUUUUAUAAUAAAAAAUCACUCUAAUUUUGAUAACUUAAGAAUUGUAGUGGAGUAUUUUUUUUUAAUAGUUUUAAAGAGUUUAGAUAAAUUCUUUAAAUAUAAUUCAUGAUGUUAUAAUAUUUUAAAAAUUAAAAAAAAAUACUAAUUAACAAUAUUUACUUAGCAUUUUAUAUGUUAAGUAUACCUAAUAGUCCCAAAAGAGAAGCAAAGGUGGGGGAGAUUGGUCAUCUGUUUACGUUUAAUAAUAUUCUUGUAAUAUGAAUUGUAGUAUUAUAUAUAUUAUUUGUAAUACUGAAAUUCUAAUUCAUUCGAGUAAUUAUACCGAACUACACAUGUUCUAUAGUCGUGGACUUGGACACAUUUUGUGGAAUUGUAUAAAUAAAUAUCAUGUUUGUUGUUUGCGAUUAGCAUUUUCUAUUUUCUCUUUUGUUACUAGUUGUUGUUCUAAUAAUUGGUAUCACAUGACAAUUAACUUUUGUUCAAAAUUCGAGGUGGCAGGGUGUAGCGGGGUAUUCGUUACCAUUGGAGAUAUUGACUAAAUCCAAGGUAAAUCAUACAAAGUCGAGUCGCCACCGCACUUCUAUUUAUCCAAAGGAAUGGUUAGAAAGCGAACAAAAACCUAAUAGUUUUAUCGAAUCAAAAACUAGUAAAAAUGUCAGAGAUCUGGGUAAGGGGGUUGGUUAUGCAAUGGGAAGGUUUUAAGCACCCAAAACAUCCUAGGUACUCCUAGGGAGCCCUUUUCAUACUUGUUGUAAGGUUGGUAUUUUGUGAAAAUUUGUUUGUGCAAACAUGAUUGAAGAGAUGAGAAGAGAAUAUACAAGUUAUUUACAUUUUGUGUUUGGAUGGAUAAACCCAUUGCCUACGUACCAUCUUAAAAAAGAUUAGGAUCAAAACCUCGUAGUUCGGGGUAAAAAUCUCAAAAUGAGUUGGUGAAUUGAUUGGUCCAAAAGCCUUAAGGUCUUUUGUUAUCCAAGGGAGAAAACUCAACCUAAAACCACAAAUCCACCAUGUGAGGAUAGCUUCAACAUGCUAGUGAGGGGUUAACCCUAUAAUAAGCAUGGAAGACUCAUUGUCCAUCACUAAGGAUAUAGGUGAGUAUUACAUCUACCUCAAGGAUAACUCAAACCUAAUAGCUAAAGGUUAUGAAAAAUUUGAUUAAGAAGUGGACAUUGAAACCACAAAAAGCACAUUUGAAUGAGUUAUAUUUACCAAUUAGAAGUAUAUACAAAAAUGGUCAAAGUUGACUUAAAGAUUCAAUUCAAAAUGAGUAUUGUGAAAAGAAAGUUUGAAAAUCAAAAGCAUAAGGCUUAGGUUUCUAAUGUUGAAAACAAAGUCAAAUGUUUGCACAAAAAGGUUUUGGCUUGGGUUAGGGUGGAGAGAAGAGCUAAGUCCUAAAGAGAACAAAAAGGUGAGGGAUAAGAAAUGAAACCACACUAGGAGUUCCUCUCUUGAGAUCAUAUAAAUGAUCCAAGUAGCUCCUAUCCUUUGGAAUAAGCAAGCACAAAGCAUAAGCAAUCAAACAAGUCUCAUAAGAGAUCCUCAAUGUAUCUUGUAUCUUCCACUUAGAUGAACAUGGUAAUGAUCCUCCAAUUAAGCUCAAAUGGAAACUCCUAGUUCAAGAACACACACAUCAAAAGUCCCACAAGUAAACAAACAUCACACACUAUAUACAUACAAGAGGCUCAAACAAUGGGUGGGCUUUAGUCAAGAGGGGUCAUGUUAACCUCGACAAACAAGCCAAACUGUAAUGGGUAAUUUGUAGCUCUUAACCACUAACAUUGAACGUUAGGGUGAAGCUGAUCAAAAUGGAAAUGAGGAUGAGACCUCAUGCUCUUAACCCUGGCCAGGAUGAGCUCAUGACAAAGAAAGCGUGGGGAUCCAGAAAGUGGGAUCCUAUUCCACUUGACAGACACUGGACAAAGAUCUGGGGCACAUGUUCAGAAGCAUCAGCACGUAGUGCGAGCAUAAAGAACGACACACUGAAUAAUGGGGGAUUGGCUACUAAUCCCUUCUAUCCGUCAAUUGCCUCUACUCUUGGAUGUCUUAACAAAUAACACAUGCCUCCUCUUGGAGGUCUUUGAGCACAAUUUUAAACAAACACAAACAGAGCCUCUGAAGGAGGACUUGCCAACAAAAUGCCUGCCAAAAAGGUGACAGGACUUCAGACUACAUGAAGUAAGAAGCUAACUACCUGAGUGGUGUAUCAACCAUAAUCCAAAGCUCAAGCAAGAGCUAAAGUAAGAAAGCAACUA
rnacentral:lncRNA from 1 species